rnacentral:lncRNA from 1 species
CUAUAAUAAAAGCAAAACAAGUAAAACUGCUUAUAAAGUGUGAAACAGAUACUGCAUAAAUGCGUAAGCACAAGGGCUCAUGUGUAUUUAAAUACCUGGAGGUUAGUUUUACAAAGUGUUGCCUUUUUAAAAUGUGAAUUUCCAACAGGCAGGGCCACCAAGAAUUCCUUUAGAGGCCUAAAACUACUGUGUAUUAUUUUGUUCUGAUUAAUGGAAACACUGCCAACUGGAGUAUAACACAUCAUUUGGAGUGCAGCAUGGCUGUUUCUUAGCCAUUCUGCUCCCCUGCCUGUGUGGACCUGCCGAGGCUGUGCCACCUCCCCUGGAGUUUAACCCAGGCUCCCAGAUCUUAGCAAGCCUUCCUUCUUACUUGGUUCCCACUCUCGGCAUUUCUAGUUCUUUCCACCGAGCUGCAACUCCACCUGUCACCCAGGCUGCUAUCACCAUUGACUCUCUCAUUUCUCCUCUGUCAGCUGACAAAUCAGUCUUUCUGGAGAAAUGUCUCCCCCAUCCCCUUCAGAUGCCUUUCAUCACGUAUCAGAUAUACUUUCCUGAAAAUCAUUUUAUCAUUACCUCCAGUUCUAAAUAUUAGCUUCUCCCAUUGCACACAGAAUUGCACGUUACCACCUCUGCCUGGUAUUCCAGCUCCUUUGCUCUCCCAGCCCUUAAGCUGAGUAACCCGGUGUCUUUAGCCAUCUAGCUCCUCACCAAACCCAGACACAUCGGCUCAUUUUCACCUCUGAGCCCUCCACGCAUCUCUUUCCCUCUGAAGCGCUCUCUUCUUCUAUCUGACCAAAACGUGGUUACUCGUCAGGGUCCUAUUCCCAAGGAGGCCGACCAUGUCCAGUGGCCUUUGUAAAAGGGCGGUUAAGAGCAUGCACUCAGGAGUCAGCUUUCCUUGGUUCAAAUCCUGCCUCUACCAGUUACUGGCUAUGUGACCUUGAACUACGGUUAAAGGUGACAGUGUACAGAAUAGAAGAGAAUUCAGUGAGUGAAAGUGGGUUGAAUAACUUAUCUAAGAGUCCUUACUUUUUGCCUCCCUUUUUUAUCCAAUGUGAGUUAAGUACAAGUGCCAAGAGUACUUUCAGAACUGAGAGGGACCUUAAAGAUCAUCUGGUUGGAUGUCUCACUUUACAGAGAUGAACUGACUCAUCCAAGGUUACAAGGCCAGCUAGAGGCAGAGCUGGGAAUGAAAUCCCUGGGGACUCCUGAGAAAAGAGAGUUUGGCAUGCCUCCCACUGCGUACCGCAAAAGAAACAUGAGUUGACUGUUUUAAAUACACUCUCCCUCCAGAUGCUGGAUGACAUGAUGAGCCUGGCUGGGAGCCCACUCUCUGCUCCAUCGGCCCACCCUCCCUUUGUGUUGUCUGUGGGUGGAGUAAGCUGUUGCCAACCGUGGCCAAAUGAAAAGCCCGAUGCCCUCCCUUCUCUCUAAAAGCUAUUUAUUGUUUUCCGAGGAGCCAGCCAUCAAAGAGAUCUCCUGUGCCCCACGCACUCCUCCCAACUCCCAGUUUUUGACUGAAAAAAUGCUAACAUCCGACCAGAUACCAGAAAAACAUCCUGAAAGACAAUGCCUGGACUCUUAUUUCCUAGGGAGCAGGACCAGGGCUUAUUACCACAUCAGCCUAUCUUGUUUUUACUGCUGUGAUGUUGCUGACAACAUAGCUGAAAUCUCCAACGUC